rnacentral:rRNA from 1 species
GGAAUGAAUGGGCUAAUUAGGAAUAGACUUUUUUAUUAGUAAUAACUUAAUUUUAUUAUCAAGUUAAAAGGCUUGGUUAAUGUAGAGUGACAAGAAGACCCUAAGAUUUUUACAGGGUAGUUGUUUACUGGCUUGUGUGGUAGUAAAGAGGGUGAGUGAUUAUUUUGUUUAGCUGGGGCGGUUGGAAUAUUGUCUAUUUUGUAAUUUACUUUAAUGAUAGUAUUGUGUAUAUUAUUAUCCUUGUUGGAAGACAUGAUAAAUUACCUUAGGGAUAACAGCAUAAUCUUUUCUGAGAGACCGUAUUGACGAAGAGGUUUGUGACCUCGAUGUUGGAUUUGAAUAACUUUUAGGGGCAGCACUUGUAAAAGUUGGUCUGUUCGACCAUUAAAUCUC